ACACCGAUUUGGCGAAGUGGUUAUUAUGCUUGCCUUUCAAGCAAGCUGCUCGGGUUCGAUUCCCGAACGGUGUA